rnacentral:rRNA from 1 species
UGGCUCAUUAAAACAGUUAUAGUUUACUUGAUAAUAAAAUUUUACAUGGAUAACCGUGGUAAUUCUAGAGCUAAUACAUGAGCAAAAUCUUGACUUUUUUAGAAAAGAUGCAUUUAUUAGAUAAAAAACCAAUACAUACUUUUUAAGUAUGAAAGUUGGUGAUUUACAAUAACUUAGCAAAUCGCAUAGUGAAAACUGGCGAUAAAUCAUUCAAGUUUCUGACCUAUCAGCUUUCGACGGUAUGGUAUUGGCUUACCGUGGCAGUGACGGUUAACGGGGGAUUAGGGUUCGAUUCCGGAGAGGGAGCCUGAGAAACGGCUACCACAUCUAAGGAAGGCAGCAGGCGCGCAAAUUACCCAAUUCUAACAGCAUAAGAGAGGUAGUGACAAGAAAUAACAAUACAAGGCAGUUAAAAUGCUUUGUAAUUGGAAUGAUAGAAAUUUAAACACUUUUUAAAGUAUCAAUUGGAGGGCAAGUCUGGUGCCAGCAGCCGCGGUAAUUCCAGCUCCAAUAGCGUAUAUUAAAAUUGUUGCAGUUAAAAAGCUCGUAGUUGAAUUUCUGCUUAAAAUAACCAGUCUGCUUUUAACAAAAGUGGUAUCUUGGUGUGUUUUUAGCAAUAAUGUCCUUUGAAAUGUGUUUUACUUUGUUGUAAAAGGCAAUAUUCAGGAUUUUUACUUUGAGAAAAUUAGAGUGUUUCUAGCAGGCUAAUGCUUUGAAUACUGCAGCA